rnacentral:lncRNA from 11 species
UGUAACGCUUAAACCAGAGAUAAGAAGUUGGGUCCCCCUCCCCGCUUUGUAAACAAGGCAAGGCUCACCGGGUCACCCUGAUGGCUGAAGGUCACUCUCGGGCUCCGACGGCAGGAGACCUGGCCCGUCUCUCUCGGGGCUUCGGCCCCUGCCUGCCUGCCUUUCUCGUCCUGCUGCUCCUUCCUCUUCUCGGCGGCGGGGAGCUCUCCUUUUCCCUUUCCCUCUCCCUCUCUGACCGCGCUAAGCCCGGGCCCGGCAUGCCCGCUCAGAUGCCAUGGUCGCAGUCCACGUCGCGGCAGAUGUACCAGAGGAUCACGUAGAGGAUGAGCAGAAUGGCGAAGAUGAAGAGGGCCACCAGAAUCGCCUUGGUCACCGGCGAGAUGAGGGACUGCAUGGCCCCCGCGGGAGGCAGAGCCGCAGCCGGAGGAAGAGGAGCCGAAGGAGGGAGGCAGGCGAGCGAGCCCCGCUAAAACCCGGGCAGCUGGAGAAGGAGGAGGAGGAGGCGCCGCAUUGGCUCGUGCUCAAGGGGCGAGCUCUGCCUCCCCGUCAAAUGCAAGGCUGCCGACCCGCGCCCCGCUGCUGCCCGAGGCGGACGAGGAGCGGGGGGACGCAGAAGCGCUCCGCCGGAAAGGGGCGAAAGGGCCCGCCAAAGGCCGCGGCCAUGGGCUCCCAGGCGAGCCUCGGGCGGCGAGGGGCUGAGCCGGGCUGCGGGAAGGCUGCUCCUGCUCCCGACGCUUCCUCCUCUUCGUCUCCUUCCCUCUCCCUCAGAGGCGCGCCGAGGAGGAGACGCGCCAGUUCGGAGCGGCGCCUCCAAAGUUGGGCGACGGCGGAGGCGCUGCGGAGGCGCUUGCCCGCAGCAGGUCGCUUUAUUAUAACUUGAAUUUGUGAAUAUUAGAAACUUUCCACCUAAAAAAGACUUGGUCAUGGUCGAAACCGGUUGUGGAAG